rnacentral:rRNA from 1 species
GACGAACGCUGGCGGCGUGCUUAACACAUGCAAGUCGAACGGAAAGGCCCUGCUUUUGUGGGGUGCUCGAGUGGCGAACGGGUGAGUAACACGUGAGUAACCUGCCCUUGACUUUGGGAUAACUUCAGGAAACUGGGGCUAAUACCGGAUAGGAGCUCCUGCUGCAUGGUGGGGGUUGGAAAGUUUCGGCGGUUGGGGAUGGACUCGCGGCUUAUCAGCUUGUUGGUGGGGUAGUGGCUUACCAAGGCUUUGACGGGUAGCCGGCCUGAGAGGGUGACCGGCCACAUUGGGACUGAGAUACGGCCCAGACUCCUACGGGAGGCAGCAGUGGGGAAUAUUGCACAAUGGGCGGAAGCCUGAUGCAGCAACGCCGCGUGCAGGAUGACGGCCUUCGGGUUGUAAACCGCUUUCGCCUGUGACGAAGCGUGAGUGACGGUAAUGGGUAAAGAAGCACCGGCUAACUAGGUG